rnacentral:rRNA from 1 species
AGGACGAACGCUGGCGGCGUGCUUAACACAUGCAAGUCGAGCGGAAAGGCCCUUCGGGGUACUCGAGCGGCGAACGGGUGAGUAACACGUGAGCAAUCUGCCCUUAGCUUCGGGAUAGCCCCGGGAAACCGGGAUUAAUACCGAAUAUGACCUCGGCCGACAUCGGCCUUGGUGGAAAGUUUUUCGGCUAGGGAUGAACUCGCGGCCUAUCAGCUUGUUGGUGGGUAAUGGCCUACCAAGGCGACGACGGGUAG